rnacentral:rRNA from 1 species
AGGAUUAACGCUGGCGGCGUGCAUGAAACAUGCAAGUCGAGCGCGGUGCGUGGCUUCGGUCACGCAUCUAGCGGCGCACGGGUGAGUAACACGUGAGCAACCUACCUUCGAGUUCGGGAUAGCCCUGGGAAACCAGGAUUAAUACCGGAUGUGGUCACAACGGGACAUCCCGAUGUGAAAAAAGGCGCAAGCCGCUCGAUGACGGGCUCGCGGCCUAUUAGCUUGUUGGUGGGGUAACGGCCUACCAAGGCGACGAUGGGUAGCUGGUCUGAGAGGACGAUCAGCCACACUGGGACUGAGACACGGCCCAGACUCCUACGGGAGGCAGCAGUUAGGAAUUUUCCGCAAUGGGCGAAAGCCUGACGGAGCAACGCCGCGUGUGUGAUGAAGGCCUUCGGGUUGUAAAGCACUGUCGGAGGGAAGAAUGGAUGACGGUACCUCCAAGAAAGCCCGGCUAACUACGUGCCAGCAGCCGC